CACGGUGGAUGCCCUGGCAGUCAGAGGCGAUGAAGGGCGUGCUAAUCUGCGAUAAGCGCCGGUAAGGUGAUAUGAACCGUUAUAACCGGCGAUACCCGAAUGGGGAAACCCAGUGUGAUUCGUCACACUAUCAUUAACUGAAUCCAUAGGUUAAUGAGGCGAACCGGGGGAACUGAAACAUCUAAGUACCCCGAGGAAAAGAAAUCAACCGAGAUUCCCCCAGUAGCGGCG
rnacentral:rRNA from 1 species